UACGGAGGAUCCGAGCGUUAUCCGGAUUUAUUGGGUUUAAAGGGUGCGUAGGCGGCCUUUUAAGUCAGCGGUGAAAGUCUGUGGCUCAACCAUAGAAUUGCCGUUGAAACUGGCAGUCUCGAGUUGGAGAGAAGUAUGCGGAAUGCGCGGUGUAGCGGUGAAAUGCAUAGAUAUCGCGCAGAACUCCGAUUGCGAAGGCAGCAUGCCGGCUCCACACUGACGCUGAGGCACGAAAGCGUGGGUAUCGAACAGG
rnacentral:rRNA from 1 species